ensembl:lncRNA
CUGUUUAAACUGUUUAAAUUCUGCAUUUAAGCAGCAAUCGAACCGCAUCAACGCAGCAAAUAGCCUGAAAUCACAGAUUUGCUCGUGGUGCUCAGUGUAUGUUAAUAGAACAGGGGAACAGGUAUUACACAGACACACACAGACACACACACACGCAGACACACACACACACACGCACACACACACACACAUCUGUCGCAGGCGUUUUUCCGUCACAGAGAGCAGGGAGGAGGAAACCGCAGGAACAAUCUCUUCUUCUCUGUCGCAGGGUCACUGGAGCGACGCGAACAUAAACAUAAUAAUCCCUCUGAGCGCCGUGGGGGGGACGGGGGGCAGGAUGCCCAUAUAUGGAGGCGAGGAGAAAGGGAGGCGUGGCGGGGGCCUACAGGGUCGCGUUGGAGAACCUGACAUGGUGGAACGGCUGAAUUACAUCGGAAAAGCCUGAGAACGUUUCAGCAUCCAGACGGCUGGAGUGGAGCGACUGUCUGUCUGAGACACACACACACACACACGCACACACAAUCUGCGUGUCUGUCUCCUUUUCCUUGUUCCUUGUCCUCUUCUAAACGCCUCUGUCCUUCGAGCCUUUUCUCUUUGAAAAACACAUUUUUCUUCAUCCAAACGCAUCCGUCAUCCACCUCUUUUUACUCUCUCUUGAUCUGCGACUCGUCUCCUCCCACUCUGUCCACCCGCGUGUCCCACACCUGUUAGCUGCCUGGGUAACGUCCAACUCCUUACACCGGUAUUGACUAAACACUGAGCGCUGCCGGGGCCGCUUCGCCUCCCGCUUCGCCUCCCGCUUAAAAAAAGUCUUGUCUCAUGUCAGCCGAGCGAGAGACUCCACAAUCCGAAAUGGACAAGAAAUGUCCUGCGGUGCUGCCAGCAGGUUGUUCAGCCAAACCAUAAAACAAAUCGUGCGUUGUUCGUCCUAUUUUCUGUCAAACGAGACGUCCCAGUGAAGAUGAACGUUGAGAGUCCAUUUUCAAUGACAAACACCAAGGAAACCAAAACCAAAUCUGCAAACAAGGAGUCUCUGUUCUUUGGGAAAACUCAUCUUAUAAACUUUUAAUCUGCAGGCGCCUCUCGUUAAUAUUCACAGUUUGUCCUCUGGGACAGUGUCCCACCUGCUUCGGCUUCUUCCCGGGUCGAUUCUAUUAUCUCCUUGUAACUUUACUUUCUUCAUAUCUGGAUCCCUCCUCUGCACAUGCGUCUUUCUGUCUCCCCUUGGAGGGAUUUUUGGCGCGGGGGUUGGGACGGGGUGGGAGGGUUGUGUGUGUGGGGGGGGGCGGGGGGGGGAGAGGGGGGGUCGCGCGGUUGACAUUGCGAAGCCCUUUGAGGCCCAUCUGUGAUGAGGAUGUAUGAAUAUACUUGACCUGACGAAAAGUAGAUCAUUCAUUCUUCAUUCCGGCCUGAUUUACACGUUACAGGCCGACGUGCAACAUGUGAGUUUAUAUACAUCGCUCUGUUGGAGAUAUAAAUAUAUAUAUACGUACACGCACACAUUUUUUUUCUAUUGGAGCGUCCCAACUUGGCCGCCAUCUUUUUUUCCUCCUCUCUUCACCAUCACUCUCCUCCUCUCCUUCCUACUCCCUCUGUCCUAAAGGACUCUAAAUGUUUAAACAGCGACCGCACUCAGUCAUCAGUCACACUGACUCGGAUGAUUACUAAAGGCACACACACACACACACACACACACACACACAAACACACACACACACACACACACUCGUAAUCACUCGCGCUCGUUAUCCUUCUCUUUCUCUCUGCUUAUUUCCCUUCUUUUCACAUUCAUUCCUCCUUUGCUUCCAUCUCUCUUUCUAAUGAUCGGUCUCCACCUUUCCUCCACCUGUCCGUCCGUCUCCCGUCGCCACAUUUCAGUCUCCCUCUUCCCGCCCCCCCCUCCGCCGCACACGCAGGGCGUCGCCCUCUGUAAUAAAUCUUGUUUCCGGUCCGCUGAGGCUCCCGCGGCUCUAUGCAGAGUGAUAGAUGAUACAAUAUUGAGCCGUUGCAAAGCUGCGACGGAGAUCUAGAGUUCUCAUAAGACCGAGGCCUCUGCCGCCUGUAGGGAGAGACGGACGGAGAGGAGGGAGAGGAGAGAGGGAGGGAGGAGAAGACACGGCGACGACAUGAAGAAAAUGAGGAUUCAGACGGAGCCGUGAAGCAGUGGAGGGUGGACAAAAAUCAUUUCGUUGUUCUUUGCAAAAUAAAGCAAUGAAAGUCAAAUAAAAACGUUCACAUAGAAAUGGCAGAAUUUCUUCGACGUGAAACGAAUUCGUGCUCUCUGGAUGAGACCGAGUCAGGGGGAAGCAGCUCUUCUCUGCUCCGUCCCUCAGCUGGAAACCAAGCGAAGGAAUCAUCAGGCUUCGAUCUUCCAAUCGUGCGGCUCCUCGUCCUCACAAAUGGUCCUUUCGUCACCAUCGAGGAAGUGCGGCCCAUCGCUUCUGUCCAGAGGUCGUUGGUGGAAGCCCCUCAGAGUCCCACAGCGUUGGUGCGGCAGGAAGGACACGAGCACGACGGCAUGCUGAGAUACCAGAGAAGGACACACUAAACACACACAACCCAGUACAAAGCACACACCUGCACUACAGGUGCACCUUACACACACACACACACCAUUACCGCCACGCUGUGAAGGAGGCGCUCGAGGUCCAGUGAAUUUUCUCUGUCUCUGUGUCUCUCUGUCUCUGUGUCUCUGUCUCCUCCCAUGAAGAACGUUAUUUCUAGAUAGAAUCGUUUGAAUGUUGUAGGAGGUGACACAGGACACACACACACACUCAUUCUGCCUCUUACCUGUUGAUUGUUCACACACACACACACACACACACACACACUCACACACUUGCUCGUCAUCACCUGGUAAAAUGAACACGUGGACUCUCAGGUGAUGAAUAAUACAGCAGUGUGUCGGCGAUCCAAUAAGCGCACACUGCCAAGAGCUGCUGGUGAACGCACAACGUGGUGGGACGCAGGAACACACGCGCAGGCACUGGCGGGGAACCGCACAAAUAACCACAAACAGAAAACCCCGCGAGCACACACGCACACACACACACACACACACACACACACACACACACACUCCAAACCGAGAUUGAUGUCUUUGGAGCUCUGUUCACAUGUGAAGCCAUGGGCGCAUUAUAAGAAAAUUAAUGAUAGAGGCCUUUCAUCGCUUAUAGAGGGAAAGAGUGAAACACACACAAACACACACACACACACAAAAGCGAGAAUUGUUAGAAACCACGGCCUGACGUACGGCGCUUCACGGUGUAUUCUAAUUUCAUUAUCUAACUAUAUUAUAUUAUUAUUACAACAAGCAACAUCUCAACAUUUGACAGCUGUUGCUGCUCAGUUCUCAGUUUGUCAUCUGGACACCAGGACACCAGGUUGCGUGCACGGACCCACACGUUGUGUGUUCAGACAGAUGAGAUGAACGCGGUCACAUUUGGCAGCGAGGAUGCCGGCCUCUGUGGCUCGUCUGCGCUGCGAGUGUAACUUCAGGCACGCAGCUGUUGACCAGCACGCGUUGGCAUGAGGCUGCAGUGAGGUAGAGUGGGCUGCGUGGGGGAGGGACAAAGGCAAUAUGCUGACACACACACACACACACACACACAAGUCGUGCCACCUACCCAGAUGAAGGCGUUGGCACUGUGGCGGUCCGCUCCGUGGCGCCCUCACAGGCCCUGACGAGGGUUACUGAUGCUAUUUAUAGGGAACGGAGUCAGCAUGCCGGUGUGCACGGUGCAGUAUGUCGUGCAUGCUUCUGUGUUUGUGUGGUCCUUUGCUUUACAUACAUCACGCAAACACACACACACACAUUUUGAGGACUUUUGGGGACAUUGUUUCCUGGACGCUUACCCUAAAUGUCAGGAUUAUAUCCUACUUUUGCCCCAUGCACACAUAUAUGCAGGUGUUUAAGUAUACGUUUCUUAUCUGAAGGGAAUUCAUUAAAUCUCAUUCCUACUUUUACACUGUGGCCGCUUCUGCAAGUUAACACACACACACACACACACACACACACACACACACACACACACACACACACACACACACACACACACACACACACACACACACACACACACACACACACACACACACACACACACACACAUGCUCACGGAUAGUUUAAGAGUCUCAAUGUGAACAUCCACUAAGUGUUUGAGGCCGAGCAGCCGCCUCAGGCGAGACAAAGGCGACCGAACAGAGAGAACGAUGUCAUCACCAAGGAACGUUUUACACGUAAACAACAGCGAUGAAAAACAGCAAGGAGGCAAACUGGGAAGACACUGCUGAUGAAAUGUUCCAUGAGAGAGGAAGGCAAUGGAGGACGGGCAGGUGAGAUUAUUAUUUUAGAUUAUUCACAGCAAGAGAGAAGGAUAGUAAUAGUGAAUAUAGUAGAGAAUUGAGUAAAGUGUAUUCAUGGGAGGAGAGUUAGGAAACGGGAGGGAGGACAUUUCACGGCAAGACGGAUAAAAAAUAGAGAGGAAUAAAACACGCAAACAAAUAGCUAAUUACAGGAAACAAGCUGGUUCGUGGGGCGAGUCUCACACCUUCACAGUAACUUUUUAAUUUGCAAAGAUUCAGGGACGGUUGCCAGCACCUGGCGACCAGCCAACAAAUGAAAACGCAGAAAUGAGAAAGCAAUAAACCUUUAUACUGUGAUUAGAUUUUCAAACAAUCUUAUUUGUACUGGUCUGGCAAUAAAAAUAAAUAAAAAAAGCUUUUGUCUGAUGAAAUGUAAUUUGAUUUAGCAGCAUGCAGCCAUUGAGUUCGGGACAUUAGGAGAGCAGGGUGCUGGAAGCUGCCAAGACCACAAACAGCUCUCUCACCCAGACGCCCACCCAGGUGCAGGCAGAUAAAAAAAAGACAUUAAUGGGUUUUAUGUAGUCUGUAAAGGAGACAUUUUGCACUUAGCUUACUUCAUGUUUUUUCCCCAAAUUGAAAAAACAAGAUUUGGUAAAAGGCUGCACAGUAUGCAAAUUGAAUUUGUAGCUCAUUAUUUUAAAAAUGCAUUUCCAGUCGCGUGCUGCUAUCAGAGCUGCUCUGUUCACCGGAAAUCAUGUUAAAAUACUUAAAAGUUGAUCAAUGUGAGGGGUUGGGAGGGGAGCAGAGAAAGCACACGCGGAGCGAACGAAAGGAACAACCACGACUCCAAUGUCGACCAAACGGUUUGCUACACAAAUACUCAUUUCAAUAAAUUGUGCAAAAUUUUUCAACUAAGGAAGCUAGAAGCGAACAAGUAAAGUAGCUAGGAAAGGAAACAGAAUGAGAGGAUAUUGUGCUCCAUGCAGCUAUUGAGUUCAGGUUAGUGCGGAUCUAAGCUGCAGGCUGGAUAUAAAUAUAUUAUAUUUAUAUAUAUAUAUAUAUUAUAUAUUUGUAUAAUGUAGAUAUCAAAUCAACUGUUCCUCUAGUUAAACAAUGUGACUUUGCUCACACAAAUAAAUACUAAUAAUAAUAAAUGUGAACACACACACACACACACACACACACACACACACACACACACACACACACACACACACACACACACACACACACACACACACACACACACAAGCACACGUUGAAUCGUGUAUUUCCGACCUCGGUGUGACCAGACGUUGUUACUCAUUGGGUUUAUUUUACCCGGGUGCUUGUCCGUGUUGUGACACCAGUUAUGCAAAUGUAAUAUCUGCAGUUGGCAUUAAAUGAGGACGGAUGGUUCGUAAUAGAGUAACUGUUUGCUAACAGCGAGAAGGCCCCGUUAACCGCAGUCCUCUGGGGCCCGGUCCAUUGCUCUCUCUCUCUCUCUUUUGCAUUAUUGACCGCAGGCAGGUAUGGAUUCAUAAAGCGCCACACACACACACACACGCACACACACACUAACAACCCCGGGUUCCGUCACAGCAGUAGCAGCUUUUGUGCAGCACGGAAUCUGUUCCCUGAGCUGUCGAUGCUGCCGCCGAGCAUAACUGCCUUGUAAUAAGUAGCAGACGUACUGCGUUUACGAGGGGCCGGGUGGUGUGUGAGUUGUGUGCGUCUGCUGGUGUGAGUCACAGGAGACGCAACGGCGGGGAUGGAAAAAAGUGGGGGAAGGCCGCGACAGACGAAGGGAUGUAAAAGUCGAGGGCGUUCACCGACUUCUAAAUCAAAGCGCUUAUCUGUCUAAGGUCACGCUGGGAAAACUUUUCAUUUGUAAGUGAUUUGUGCAAAUCUGUGUCAGUCGGCUACACGCUCAGCAGAAGUCAACCACAAGAGACCGGUGGGAAGUGAGCGCUGGCACCUACAGACGGAGGCUGACGCCGGGUCUGAUGCGAGCAUCCUUUAAACUGCAUUCAGCAUCUGGGAAGACGGGAUCCGGAGCAUUUCAUUGAGGGAAUGUGAAUCGUGGAAGGGGCCGUUACCGGGAACGUCUAAGAUAUUGAAAAAAGCGUGAGAAGCGGGUCGGUCUCCUGAGGAGAAGAGCAACGGUGAGAUGAAGAAGAAGCGAUGUAUAAAUGAGGGCAGGAGUGAUGAGAGAAGAGGCAAAGAAACGCUGAUGCAGGGAAAUCACUGAUAAGGGCUCUGCACGCUAAUUAGAGGGCAGCGUGACAGUUACAGGUCGUUAGGGCGCUUCGUAAAGUGCUGUAUGGAGAAGCUAUUUACGCCUCAGAAGGG